rnacentral:rRNA from 1 species
UUGUUUUAAGACUAGCCAUGCACGUCUAGUACAACUAAAUGAUGGUGAAACUGCAAAUGGCUCAUUACAACGGUUAUGAUGUACCCGGGAGUUCCGAUGGAUAUUUCCAGUAACACUAGAACUAAUACAUGUCCCUGCGUUUAUUAGUUUCGCACAGUCCGUCGCUGAGUCAUGGUAAACAGUUGAUCGACUCGACGUCCCGGAACAGUUUCCGCCCCAUCAGCUUCGAUGGUUGGGUAUUGGCCUACCAUUGCAACAACGGGUAACGAGGAAUUAGGGUUUGAUUUCGGAGAGGGAGCCUGAGAAACGGCUACCACAUCUACGGAUGGCAGCAGGCGCGCAAAUUACCCAAUGCAGACACUGUGAGGUAGUGACGAGAAAUAAUAAAGCGGGACUUCUGUUUCGCUAUUAUAAUGAGGAAUAACCAAAGGUCAUUCCGAUUAGCAACUGAUGGGAAAGUCUGGUGCCAGCAGCCGCGGUAAUACCAGCGUCAGUAGCAU